AAUAUUUGUUAUUUGAAAAGUUAUUGUUUUGCCACCUUUUAACACACAACCAUUUUGUGUUCACCAUCAUAGACAUUACUGCUGUCUUAUACUGACAUGCAAAUAGCAGUUCUAUAGGUGCAUAAAAUGCAUGUAUAUUUAACUGUAGAAUAUUUUUUUUUAUAUGCAUAUAUAUAAAUAAUCUGUCUGCACCUGAAGCAACACUUGUGUAACAGCAUUCACUCCAUGUGUCAAUGCACUCUGGGGACAAGUCUGAAUACAUGAUAAGAAUCAUUUUCAGAUUUAUUUUCAAAGACCUCCGGCUCUGGGUUUGUUUCAUUUAGCUACAAAUUCUCUUGGCCAAAAUUCUCUGUGACACAUUCUAGAGGAAAUGCUAAAUCACUGCCUGAAACAGUGAUUGAGCACCUGGUGGGAAGGCAGGGCCAACCCACGGGACCAGAAGGAGUGGAGCCAGGAUCCACCCCUUCCCACAUCUCCUUUAAGGGUUGGCAGUGGAGGUGAGGUUAUCUCCUCAUCAGGGACUGGAGAUCCCUGUCAACCCUGAGGCCUUCCAAAGCCCUCAGCCUCCUCCAGGGAGGACUGGUGGUGUUCUCUUCGGUUAAGGUGGCUGGGAGCCCUCGUGGAGGUGGAACAGGUGCCUGGGAUAGAGAUGAGGGGGAAGCCAUCCUGUGAGACAUGGACUGGGUAACAGUGGCCUUGACGGGUGGCAAUUUAAGUUCACAUGCAUGAGAUCCUUCAAUAACUGGCACUUCUUCAAGAAAAAACAGCUGAAGCCAUUUUCUCUCUGUGAGUUCUACUGAAGCUGGUGUUUCUGCUAUCUGGAACUGGGGGCUCAUCAGACCUGCAGCUCAAAGAAGAUUGUUGCAGCCUAGUAGAAGCAUGAAUGCAAUUAAGGUAUAUACACAGCUGAUGACCAUGUGUUACGUACCCUGCUCUGUGUUCUGCCUCCAGAGAGAACCUUUUCCAGGCCUCAGCUGGAAUGUUUAUUUCUUCUGUUCAGAAUGCAAACCUUUAAGCACUGAGCCAUGAAGAAAAAUGGGAGGAACAAAGACUCCUUGCAAUACUUAUGGAGAAUUAUGGCAAAUCUAUUUUUCUCCUUCUGGUUCAAUGGCAAAGACCCAACGGAUAUUUCCAGCUGCUCUCUAGGUUGCCAGUGUCCUCUAUAUGUCCCAUCCUGUCAACAGGCCUGUCUAGGCUAGAAGGAAGAGAUGUCUCUCAGACAGGGUUGCACUUGAACUGAGGCCUUCUUGCAACCCCUGCUCACUUCUUCCACUACCUGAGCCCUGUCCCUUGUCUUUGUAGAGUCACUAACAUACCGAAAGAAUGGAAAAAGGCAAAGGUGCAAGGCACAUAACUUGGGCAGGUACUGCACUUGACAAACAGUACAACUCUAUAAGAAUCACUAGGCAAGAGCAUGGUGCUCCUUCCAUGACUUCCAACAGAGACAAGUGACAGUUAAGCAACUGAACCCAAACAAUAAAUCUCUUGGUAUUAAAUGUCUGACUGGAAAAGGCCACUGUCUGCAACUACACCAGUCGUUAUACUCCGGGAUAUUUAUACAGCUCCCCAGUAAAACGGUAUGUGUACACCUCAUAGUUAUCCAUAGAAACUCUCAUUGUACAAGAAGGAAUUCUGUCUCAUUUACACUUCAGUAGCGAAUACUCAACUUCAGCUGAUUAACUUGCUCAAGAUCAAACAAAACAACUGUAGCAGGGCAAGGAACCUAACCAUUAUAUUCUGAAUCCCAGAAGAGGUGCCUAACCUUUGGCUGUUAAGGCAAAAAAAGUGUCUUUCUACUGCCCUUCCUAGAGCAUGGUAGUUUAUCACAAGCUGCUGCAAGAGCAAGGAAGAAGCUUUAUGGUAUAAAACCCUUCAACUCAGUAUGGUGAUGCAGUUUAGCAUUACAUUAUAUAGUGAAAAUCAGGCAGAUCUGCAGGUGACUGUCAUACUGCAAAACCCCCAUGUCCUCCUCAGGUUCCUGACACCUGUAUCUCUUUUUGAGAUUGUGAAAAGUCCAGCCCUCCUCGUCAGUUCAAAGUGAUGACUGACACUGUAUUGGUACUGCCCUUUUAUAGAGCACUGACAGGAUUUUGGCUAAUUAGACAGUUAUUCACCUCCUUUCAUUUAGACUCAAGCAAGUCUUAGAGGAUGAAAGUUGAGUUAUUACUUUCUGAGCGCAGGAAAGGAGAUAUCCCUACAGCAAAGCAGUAGAGUACUGCAGUACUGCAAUAGCUAGAGAUGAGGGAAGAGGGAAAACAUGGAUGAGAGAACCUUGUUACCUCGUAAAGGAGUGUGCUGGACAGUCCCAACUUUAGUCAGUAGAAAAUUGUAAUGAUAUUACAUGUAAAAGCAUUACCAUACCAUCUGCACCUUCAAGUUUACACUCAGACCACUGAACCCUCUAGGCAAGGAGAGACUGACCUGCACCCACUCACAUAGGAUACAGUCUCAGGAAAUAACAGGCUUGCAGAAAACAAGAUUUUAC